rnacentral:rRNA from 1 species
UACAGAGGGGGCAAGCGUUAUUCGGAAUUAUUGGGCGUAAAGGGCGCGUAGGCGGCUUUGCAAGUGGCGGGCUAAAUCCCUCGGCUUAACCGAGGAACUGCCUGCCAGACUGCAAGGCUCGAGACCGGGAGAGGUGAGUGGAAUUCCCAGUGUAGCGGUGAAAUGCGUAGAUAUUGGGAGGAACACCAGUGGCGAAGGCGGCUCACUGGACCGGAACUGACGCUGAGGCGCGAAAGCGUGGGGAGCAAACAGG